rnacentral:rRNA from 1 species
UACGUAGGGUGCAAGCGUUAAUCGGAAUACUGGGCGUAAAGCGUGCGCAGGCGGUGAUGUAAGACAGAUGUGAAAUCCCCGGGCUCAACCUGGGAACUGCAUUGUGACUGCAUCGCUGGAGUACGGCAGAGGGGAUGGGAAUUCCGCGUGUAGCAGUGAAAUGCGUAGAUAUGCGGAGGAACACCGAUGGCGAAGGCAAUCCCUGGGCCUGUACUGCGCUCAUGCACGAAAGGCGUGGGGAGCAAACAGG